UACGAAGGGGGCUAGCGUUGCUCGGAAUCACUGGGCGUAAAGCGCACGUAGGCGGAUCUUUAAGUCAGGGGUGAAAUCCCAAGGCUCAACCUUGGAACUGCCUUUGAUACUGGGGAUCUCGAGUCCGGAAGAGGUUGGUGGAACUGCGAGUGUAGAGGUGAAAUUCGUAGAUAUUCGCAAGAACACCAGUGGCGAAGGCGGCCACCUGGUCCGGUACUGACGCUGAGGUGCGAAAGCGUGGGGAGCAAACAGG
rnacentral:rRNA from 1 species